rnacentral:RNase_P_RNA from 1 species
UAACUCGGAUAAUCGCUAUGCAGCCAGACUGCAUAGAGGAAAGUCCAUGCUCACACGGACCUGAGAUGGCCGUAGUGUUCGUGCCAGAUGAAACAAUAAGUCUGGGCAAUGAUAUAUAUAUAUCUUGACGGCUGCGAAAUAUUCUAAGUGCUUACUGCAUAUGAAUAGAGUAGCUUUAAAAGUGCCACAGUGACGAACUUCAAAAGAAAUGCUGAAGGUGGAACGCGGUAAACCCCUCGAGUGAGCAAUCCAAAUUAGGUAGGAGCACU